ACGUAGGGACCAAGCGUUGUUCGGAUUUACUGGGCGUAAAGGGCGCGUAGGCGGCAAUUCAAGUCAGCUGUGAAAUCUCCGGGCUUAACUCGGAACGGUCAGCUGAUACUGCAGGGCUAGAGUGCGGAAGGGGCAACUGGAAUUCUCGGUGUAGCGGUGAAAUGCGUAGAUAUCGAGAGGAACACCUGCGGCGAAGGCGGGUUGCUGGGCCGACACUGACGCUGCAGCGCGAAAGCCAGGGGAGCGAACGGGA
rnacentral:rRNA from 1 species